rnacentral:rRNA from 1 species
GCGUGCUUAAACAUGCAAGUCGAACGAUGAAGCCCUUCGGGGUGGAUUAGUGGCGAACGGGUGAGUAACACGUGGGCAAUCUGCCCUUCACUCUGGGACAAGCCCUGGAAACGGGGUCUAAUACCGGAUACCACUCCUGCCUGCAUGGGCGGGGGUUGAAAGCUCCGGCGGUGAAGGAUGAGCCCGCGGCCUAUCAGCUUGUUGGUGGGGUAAUGGCCCACCAAGGCGACGACGGGUAGCCGGCCUGAGAGGGCGACCGGCCACACUGGGACUGAGACACGGCCCAGACUCCUACGGGAGGCAGCAGUGGGGAAUAUUGCACAAUGGGCGAAAGCCUGAUGCAGCGACGCCGCGUGAGGGAUGACGGCCUUCGGGUUGUAAACCUCUUUCAGCAGGGAAGAAGCGAAAGUGACGGUACCUGCAGAAGAAGCGCCGGCUAACUACGUGCCAGCAGCCGCGGUAAUACGUAGGGCGCAAGCGUUGUCCGGAAUUAUUGGGCGUAAAGAGCUCGUAGGCGGCUUGUCACGUCGGAUGUGAAAGCCCGAGGCUUAACCUCGGGUCUGCAUUCGAUACGGGCUAGCUAGAGUGUGGUAGGGGAGAUCGGAAUUCCUGGUGUAGCGGUGAAAUGCGCAGAUAUCAGGAGGAACACCGGUGGCGAAGGCGGAUCUCUGGGCCAUUACUGACGCUGAGGAGCGAAAGCGUGGGGAGCGAACAGGAUUAGAUACCCUGGUAGUCCACGCCGUAAACGUU